rnacentral:rRNA from 1 species
UUUUUCAGUAGUUUAAGACAUGCAAAUCGUUGUUCCCAACGUCCUUUUUAUAAUUAAUAUUAUAAUGUUAAUGGGAUUAGGGGAUAAGGUGUAGAGGUGAGUAUGUUAAAUAAGAUACCCUAUAGUCUUCUUAGCUAGGAGAUAUAAAGUAAAGGAAAAUUUCUGCUAUAGGAUUCUAUUUAAUUUGAUUAGGUAGUUGAUAGGGUAACGGCCUACCAAGCCAACAAUCAAAAGUCAAGUUUGAAAGAACCUCUGGCCACAUUGGGGAUGAAAUCUCCCAAGUAGUAAUAACACUACCAGCAGUCGAGAAUAUUAGUCAAUGCUCGUAAGAGUGAACUAGCUAACUGAAAUCAUAGAAUUUUUUUAAGUUCGUGAUGUCGUAAGGGAAAAUAAUGAUAAUACCUUACUAUGAGUGUCGUCCAAAUCUGGUGCCAGAAGACUCGGUAAGACCAGAGACGCAAACGUUAAUCAUCAUAAACAGGCGUAAAGGGUUUGUAGGCAGCUUUUAUAAUAUUAAAAAAAAAUUAAUUUAAUUGAAAGCUAGAAUCAAAAAGAGGUUAUAGUGUAUAACGCCUAGAGGAGGGCUGAUAUCCAUAGAUCCUAGGCAGAAUACUCAGGGCGAAGGCCACUCUCCACUAAUGAUUGACGCUGAGAAACGAAGGUUAGGGUAGGAAAUAGGAU